UGUUUAGGUUUUGCUGGCCUUGUGAUUCUUUCUUCUGCUCUUGAGAACUGCUUUCCUUUUUAGUGUGACUGCUGUACCUUUGCUGGUUGCUUGAGAGAAUGUAGAGAAGAGUCAGCUACCAGAAGGAAGUCAGGAUAAGAAGUUAUUAAGCAUUUGAAGAAUGUCAAUGAGUCUCCAGUCCUCUCGCUUCAAGACUAAGCAGCAUGUAAACAGUUUGCUGUGUAAACCCAUGCUACAGAAAUUACUUCACCUGGUGGAAUACUGCAUGUAUUCUUUUGCCAAAGCGAGUGUUCAGACCUACAAAGCCAUAAUUAAUAUCAAACAUUGUACUUCUAGGAACAGAACGGUUGCAACUGCCAACUUCCUCCAACAGUUUUUAUUCAGUAGCCUUUUCAUUAGCAGUUUCAGCUAGAACACAAGGAGUUUGCACUUAAAGGUCAGCCAAUUCAGCUGUUUACCACUGAUAUGCAACAGGGACAGAUGGCGAAGUGCCAAAGGACAAUUUAAAUAUGAAAUUAUAGUUAUAUGGUUUACCUAGGCAACAAAAUUGCAGGGGUGGGGGAAAAACCCAUCCAGAGCCUCCUAAACACCAGUUUAUGGAAGCCCCUUAGGAAGCAUGUUAAUAAAUGCAAAGCUUCUGGAGUUAGCAAGUUCAGAACCAGGCUUCCCUGUAUUCAGGUGAGCUGGUGAAUAAGACAAGUGAAGCACAGGAACUGCUUUCUAAAUGCUGACAAAAGAGAUUUAUUCUAAUGGAUUUUUCCUACUAAUAAUCUUAAAGCUGUCACCCAGAAUUUGCAACUACCCAGUUGCCAAAUUUCAGUGGGAUCUCUACAGAAGGAAUAAGUCAUUUUCAUGUACAAUGAAUGCUUGCACACACAAACUAUACCUUGUGUCAAGAGGACAUAAACUGUUCAAAAGAAGUGCGGCCCAAUGUAAAACAGUAAAUAGAGACACUGGUAACCAGAAAGCUGACUGAGUUGUGUUCUUCUGUGCUUUAUACCAGUAAGGAUCUUUCCCUCUGAUCUCCACGGGCAACCCUUCUUUAAAGAGAACUGUGAAAGGUAAACCACCUAUUCAAGGAGGAAUGAAGCAAGGAGUGCAAGAGGGAAGUGAUUCAUUACUAUAACCGAAGCAGAAGAAUAACCCUUUCAUAUGCAAGGUCGUUUGUUGUUUUAUGUCCCUGUGUUAAUGAAUCACCAUUUGUUUAUACACUGGGAGUAGCAGUACAGAGAGGAAACCGACUAUUUGCUUCAGGGAUGAGGCCCAUUUUAGUGAACACUUUUAAUUCCAAAACACCUGGCUGAAGAAUGGGCUGUAUUCAUACAGAAACCUGCAGAGACUUCCCUCCUUUUUUUGGGCUGCGUGAGACUUAAACAUAGCUGUCUUUGUGUCAGAUCUCUGGCCAUAUGAUCUGAAGCAGAAUUUGACAGUGCAGGCACUGAUGUAUUAUGAACUGCCAAAAGCACGAACUAGGGAGCACAAUGUUUGUGCUGCUUCUACAGCUAAAGUGUUCAUUAGUGGUUUAGAGGAGAGGACAAAUGGAAAGGACGUGACAGGGAAUAACUUUACUGGCAAUAUGACUAAUUUAAGCUCUCGUUUUCCAUCUUGAGGUCUUAAGCUACUCCUGACCAGUUAAGAAUAUUUUUUUUUUAGUAUGUUCAAAUGUUGUUAAGUGAUCUGAGCAGAGAGGAUCUUUUGCUUUAAAUUCCCAAGAAAUAAUAUCUUGAGUUGACCAGACCAGUUUGCUGCUCUCUGAAUAUGAGUGUUUUUCUGACUUAAUGUGUGAAUAAGAAAACCUAAAGGUCACAUAGAAAUUUAUCACUUGACCAAAGUGCUGAAUUCCAGUUAAAGUCUAAGUGGCAAAAGUAAAAGUUUAAGAAUAGUUUUAUGAUUAAAACCUACUUUUGUUUUUCCUUCCCCAGUGUGCUAGAAUGUUUUGGUGAGAAGAAUUAGAUCACAGGCUGUGAAAGAGAAACAAUGGUAAUGUCUACUUUACUCAUAGGCUUGCUGACAUGGAUAAGAACAAGAGUAAAAACACAGCUAAGGCAUUUGGGCACAGCCUGGGCUGCAUUUUUCUGUAACCUCACCUUCCAUCUCUCUGAUUAAUCCACCUGCUUCCUAACCCAACCCUCCAUUCUUCCUUGGGACGCAAGGCAACAUCUGGGGGUUUGGCAUUGCGAAAUGCUGUGGGUUUUUCCCACUCUGUCACAGGAUCCCACUAUGUGAAUGCUUAUCUAAAAGACUGUAAAACAGAACUGGCAAAACCAGGAGACUGGAUUUGUUCAGGAACUUCUCAGUUACUCGGUCACCACAUGAUGGAGGAGGUGUAUGCACAGAAUGCAGCUUCUAUUUUUCUUACAAAACCUUCAGGGCAUCACUUAAAUGCUUCGUGCAACACAACCACAGGCCUCCAACUGUGUUUUGCUUCCUGAUGCACAAAAGUAAUGAAAGACUCCACAUGUUCCUUCAGACCUCUACUGAUUUAAAACAAAACCCAAACCCUGAGAUAUAGACUUGGUAUGGAUUCCCAUACCCUUGUGAAAACCAAACCAAGUGGUAUUGCAAUACAUCAACUUUCAAUGCCAGAUCAGUGAGCAAUGGGCAAAUAACUGCCCUGAGAAGGAACAGAGCAAGGGCAGGAAUGAGGUGCUGCUCUGUAGAGCUCUGUACCUCUGUCUGCACUUAAUGGAUGCUCCAUACCCUUUCAGACCUGCUGGUUGUUCCAAGAGAACAAGUUUGUUAUUGUCUAGCUUUCCAU